UAUUAAUUUGAAAUUAUUCUUUUGUGUGCUCCACAGUAUGCUCUGCACCUUGCCUUGGAUGUGCCAUUUGACUUCACAGCUGACAAAGGCGUUCACUAAAGGGGCACUGGAGAGUGUGAAUGAGACCCAGAGCAGUGAGGAGGAACCACUAAUACAA